AGCUUACUAGGAUUGGAUCUGCGC
rnacentral:siRNA from 1 species